GCCUGCUUAGCUCAGCGGUACACUGUAAAGUAUCAGUGUAAAGAGCAGCUGUUUUGUAAACAGCAGGUCGUCGGUUCAAAUCCGACAGCAGGCU
rnacentral:tRNA from 1 species